rnacentral:rRNA from 1 species
GACGGACGCUGGCGGCGUGCUUAACACAUGCAAGUCGAACGGAAAGGCCCCAGCUUGCUGGGGUCCUCGAGUGGCGAACGGGUGAGUAACACGUGGGUGAUCUGCCCUGCACUCUGGGAUAAGCCUGGGAAACUGGGUCUAAUACCGGAUAGGACCGUGCUUUAGUGUGUGCGGUGGAAAGUUUUUCGGUGCAGGAUGAGCCCGCGGCCUAUCAGCUUGUUGGUGGGGUAAUGGCCUACCAAGGCGGCGACGGGUAGCCGGCCUGAGAGGGUGUACGGCCACAUUGGGACUGAGACACGGCCCAGACUCCUACGGGAGGCAGCAGUGGGGAAUAUUGCACAAUGGGCGCAAGCCUGAUGCAGCGACGCCGCGUGGGGGAUGACGGCCUUCGGGUUGUAAACCUCUUUCGGCAGGGACGAAGCUUUUGUGACGGUACCUGCAGAAGAAGCACCGGCUAACUACGUG